rnacentral:rRNA from 1 species
CCUACGGGAGGCAGCAGUGGGGAAUAUUGCACAAUGGGCGAAAGCCUGAUGCAGCAACGCCGCGUGAGGGAUGACGGCCUUCGGGUUGUAAACCUCUUUUAGUAAGGAAGAAGAACUUCGGUUUGACGGUACUUGCAGAAAAAGCACCGGCUAACUACGUGCCAGCAGCCGCGGUAAUACGUAGGGUGCAAGCGUUGUCCGGAAUUAUUGGGCGUAAAGAGCUCGUAGGCGGUUUGUCGCGUCUGCUGUGAAAUCCGGAGGCUCAACCUCCGGCCUGCAGUGGGUACGGGCAGACUAGAGUGCGGUAGGGGAGAUUGGAAUUCCUGGUGUAGCGGUGGAAUGCGCAGAUAUCAGGAGGAACACCGAUGGCGAAGGCAGAUCUCUGGGCCGUAACUGACGCUGAGGAGCGAAAGCAUGGGGAGCGAACAGGAUUAGAUACCCUGGUAGUCCAUGCCGUAAACGUUGGGAACUAGAUGUAGGGGCCAUUCCACGGUUUCUGUGUCGCAGCUAACGCAUUAAGUUCCCCGCCUGGGGAGUACGGCCGCAAGGCUUAAAAACUCAAAAGGAAUUGACGGCUGGAGACGNGCGACGACGACACGAGGGAGGAG